UGACUCUUUCAUGUUUUACCUUUGCUUGCAACAGAUCCUGAUGUAACACCUGGUAUUCAUGAAAACAUUUCUAAGGAAAAGGUACUCACAACGGACCAGAGGAUAUGGUUACAAGCAGUGUCUGAAUCAAACCUGGAGAAUUUUUGUGAUGAGCACUUUGAUCAUGUAUUCUCUCAGUCCUUCCCCAAUACAAACAUAUCGAGUGCAUUCUGUGAGAAGGGUGUUGCCGGAAAUGAAUGGGAUUAUUUUAUUCAUAUUAAAAUGUAGAAUUUUCUGUCUACCUGUUGAUCAUCAUUCAAUUAAAUUUUUAAAUUAUCCAAAAAUUAAAAAUAAGUAUGGAUCAUAAUAAUACAGCAGUAUUUUUUAAAUUGAUAAACUCUUAAGGGAAACAUGAGAGAAAUACAUGGCUUUGACAGCAGUUAAUACUUAGAGAGAACGGUACCGUUGUGUUCUUUACUCAGAACUCAGUUUGGGAUGUGAGAACUCAGUUUUGAAAUACAACACGUCUUCAAGCCAGAAGAGGUUUCACAUGUCAGAAUUGCUAAUUGCUAAGUCUGAGCCCCAGGAUCCGUUUCUAUAUAAGCGUUUGCUUGAAAAGUUAUUAAACUGAGUAG
rnacentral:lncRNA from 1 species